GGGAGUUGGGAGGAAACGGGAGGUGGCUGCAGUGUUCCAAACAAUUUGGAAGGGUGUGACACAGGAGGGUGCAUUUGGGUAUAUAUAGCACCGUUUGUGCAACUUUUCCUGACAAUCUCCCUGGACGAGGAAGAGAAGGGAGCAUUUCCAAGUGCGGAGGAAGACCGGCUGUGUACCGAAGCUAUGGCCAUGGCUCUCAACUUACUUUUCUUUGUAUUGAGCACAUCAGUGAUUAUACAAACCGCGACAUCGCGCACCUUCAAAUCGAUUUACCUGGUGACAGUCAGCUCGGAGCUGGUAGGAGGGACCACAGAGAAACUUUGUGCUCAGGUCCACCAAGCCAAAGAGCCUCUGUCGUUGAAGGUGUCGCUGGAGAUGGAGGGUGGCAGCAGCACCAUUCUACUGGAGGAAGACGUAACACAGGACUUCUAUCGCUGCAUCUCCUUCCAGGUACCCCCAGUGACGGCUGACAGUGUGGCCACUGUCAAUGUCAGUAUCAAGGGGAGGACGGACGAGAUGAGUAAAAUGACCAAGAUCCUUAUCAAGCCUAAAAGAUUCCUCACCAUUUUCCAGACAGACAAACCAGUCUACAAACCUGGACAGACAGUCAAGUUCCGAAUCGUCUCGCUGGAUGCCAGUUUCUUGUCAUUCAAUCAGAUGUAUCUAACAGUGGAGCUUCAGGACCCAAACUCCAACCGCAUUGCUCAGUGGUUGAACCAGUCAACAGUGAGUGGAAUUCUGGACCUGUCCCACCCCAUGUCCGCAGAGGCAACGCAAGGAAGUUACAUCAUCACUGCAUGGAAUGAGAAGGGAGAGCAAACCUCCCAAAACUUUGACGUCAAAGAAUAUGUUUUACCCAAAUAUGAGGUCAAAGUCUAUCUACCCCAAACAAUCACUAUUCUGGACAAACGAGCAACGCUGAGAGUUUGUGGCAAAUACACUUAUGGAAAACCAGUGAUGGGGUCUGUCACUGCGACGGUUUGCAGAAUUGCCGUUCAAUAUCACUGGUUAUAUGAUUCUAGUAAUAUCUGCGAGGUGUAUGUUAUCAAAACUGACAAAACUGGUUGUGCAACCCAAAUGCUCGACUUGACCCGGUUCCGUCUACGUGAAUCUUUUGGGGACUUCGAAGUGGAGACUGAGAUGGAGGAAUAUGGAACGGGGGUCAUCCUUAAAGGUAGUGGCAAGGCAAGCUUCACCAAUGUCAUCAUAACGGUCAGUUUUGAGGAUGUGCCCCAAGCAUAUAAACCAGGAAUUGCGUAUGAGGGGAAGAUCAAGGUGACCGGUCCAGACUCUACUCCCGUUCCCAAUGAGCCUGUGUAUCUCUUCCUACAAAACGGUGGCCAAUCUGAGAACUGGACUCUCACCACAGACAGCAAGGGCAUUGCUUCUUUCUCUCUAGACACUUCUCUAUGGACUUCUGAUUCUGUCUCUCUGUCGGCUCGUUAUCAAAAGGUUAUGGAGGAUUAUCUGUACGAACAGGGUGUGCGUAGUCCUCUAUAUACAUCUGCUUACCAUUUCGCAUGGAAAUUUUAUUCCAAGAGCAAGAGCUUUGUGAAGAUAAUGCAGGGCGAAGGGAAGUUCUCCUGUGAGAAGGACGGUAUUGUUCUUGCUCGCUACAUCAUCCACGGGGUGGAGCUGAAAAGGGGACAGACGACCCUGGACUUUUUCUAUCUGGUUAUAUCUAGAGGCAGCAUUCAGCAGCACGGCCGUCUUCCUGUGAUCAUUAAAGAAAGAAAAGUUAACCAAGGGGAACUGAUGCUCUCGCUGCGGCGGAUGCCUGAGCUGACCCCUUUUGCCCAGGUGGUGGUGUACACCGUGUUGCCUGAUGGGGAGGCAGUAGCAGAUAGCCAAGACUUCCCCAUUCAACUCUGCCUAAAAAACAAGGUGUCCCUGAAGUUCUCGUCCCUCCAGGAGUUGCCAGGGGAGAAGACCUCUCUGAGCCUCCAGGCCCACCCAGGGUCUCUGUGUUCUCUCAGGGCCAUCGACCAGAGUGUGCUGCUGCUGCAGCCUGAACAGGAGCUCAGCCUGGACUCUGUCUUCAGUCAGCUGCCUGUUCAGAAGUUGUCUGGAUAUUCUUACAGAGUAGAAGACCCCUACCCAUGCCUUGGAUAUCCUCCAAGAUUUGAAGAGAUGAUCCUUCCACCCGAACCAAAACCGGUCGAGGAGUUGGUAGUACCUGAUUGGGGGAAACGCUCAUUCUGGUUUGGCCCCAGCAACGACAAAAACGAUGUCUACAGCAUCUUUAAAGAAGUUGGAAUCAAGAUCCUGACCAACUCUGACGUGAAAAAACCUUACAACUGUAACACAUACUUUGCAAUGAAACAAAAUGGUAUGAUGGAAGUUCGUCCCAUGAACAUGAUGCCUAAAGAGGAGAGCUCACCAACCCCUGGAGCCUCUGACAAGCCUAAAGAGACCGUCCGCACGUACUUCCCUGAGACCUGGAUCUGGGACCUGGUUCCUGUGGGACAUACAGGAAAAGUGAAUGUUGACAAGACUGUCCCAGACACCAUCACUAAGUGGGCUGCAGGGGCGUUCUGUACUUCCCCAGUGGGUUUUGGCCUGGCUCCCAACACUGGCCUCACUGCCUUCCAACCCUUCUUUGUGAGCCUGACGCUGCCCUACUCUGUCAUCCGGGGGGAGGUGUUCACACUCAAGGCCACAGUGUUCAACUACCUCUCCAAGUGUAUCAUGGUGAAGGUGACUCUAGCUGAGUCGAACCAGUUCACAGCCAGGCCAUGUGAAGGCUGCCAGUACACCCUGUGUCUGUGUGCUGAAGAGAGCAGGACCUUCAAGUGGAUCCUCACCCCAACUGCUUUAGGGGAGGUGAGUGUGAAAGUGAGCGCCGAGGCGUUGAAAACUGAGGACCUCUGCGGCAACGAGGUGGCCACGGUGCCAGAGAAAGGACGCAUUGACACCGUUGUGCAAACACUGCUGGUAGAGGCCGAGGGAACCCAGGAGACGGUCAGCCACAAUGCUCUGCUCUGCCCUGCAGAGGGCCCGGUGGAGAAGGACAUCUCUCUGAAGCUGCCUGAGGUGUUUGUGGAGGGCUCUGCCAAGGCGUCCCUCUCAGUACUGGGCGACCUGAUGGGUCGGGCCAUGAAGAACCUGGACAGCCUGUUGCAGAUGCCCUAUGGCUGUGGAGAGCAGAACAUGGUGCUGUUUGCUCCCAAUAUCUACAUCCUCAACUACCUGCAAAGCACCAGGCAGCUCACCAUGGAGAUCCAGACCAGGGCCACAGGCUUCCUAGACAGUGGCUACCAGAGGGAGCUCAACUACAAGCAUGACGAUGGCUCCUACAGUGCCUUUGGGAAGAAGCGAUGAGUCUGGAAACACGUGGCUCACCUCCUUUGUGAUGAAGUCCUUUGGAGGGGCCAAGCCCUACAUCUUUGUGGACCCCGCCCACAUUGCCCAGGCCAAGGCCUGGUUGGCCAGUCACCAGCAGACGGAUGGCUGCAUCGCGUCAGUGGGGAAACUCUUCCAUAACGGCAUGAAGGGAGGGGUCGGGGAUGAAGUGUCGCUCACUGCCUACAUCACCGCUGCACUGCUGGAGCUGGAUGGCAACACUUCUGACCCCAUGGUGGAGAAGAGUCUGGUGUGUCUGAAGGCAGCAGUGUCUGACCAGCUGGACAACACCUACACCAUGGCCCUGCUGUCCUACACCUUCACCCUGGCCCAAAACCAGGACAUGAGGGCCAAGCUCAUCACCCACCUGGACAAGAGAGCUGCUACCUCGGGUGGCAAUCGUCACUGGGAGAGAGCAGAGGCUUCUGGGACAAAGACGGACUCUCUGGAGGUGGAGAUGACAUCCUAUGUGCUGCUGGCGCUGCUUUCCGGUCCCACCAUGCCAGGCUUUGGGCUGGACUACUCCACUGGCAUCGUCCGCUGGCUGGCCCAGCAGCAGAACCCCUACGGAGGCUUUGCCUCAACACAGGACACAGUGGUAGCACUGCAGGCCCUGGCCAAGUACGGUGCUGCCACCUUCAGUCCAGAGGGCGCCAGUACAGUCAGUGUGAGCUCGGCCGGAGGCCUGAAGAUGGAGUUUACUGUGAAUCAGAACAACAGGCUGCUCUAUCAGGAGCAGCAGCUGAGGGAGGUCCCUGGGGACUACAACAUCAAGGCACAGGGCAAGAGCUGCGUCUUUGUGCAGAUCGCCAUGCACUACAAUAUUCCCCCUCCUCCUGACUUCUCUGCUUUCAACAUCUCAACACAGACGCUUGGGAAAUGUAACGGCACCAAGAAAUCUCUGAUAGUGUCUGUGGAUGUCAGGUACAAUGGUCGGCGAGAGGAGACCAACAUGGUGAUCAUCAAUGUCAAGCUUCUCUCCGGCUUUGUCCUGGACAAGUCCUCCCUCAGGCCUUUGAAAAAUGACCCCACUGUCAAACGAGUUGACCUGGAGGAAGGACAUGUCAUCAUCUACCUAGAUGGGCUCAAGCAGAAGGAAACGAAGACGUACAGCCUGGCCAUAGAGGAGGAUGUGCCUGUGAGGAAUCUGAAACCAGCUGUGGUGAAAGUGUAUGACUACUACCAGACAAGUGAUGAAGCUGUGAGUGAAUACAGCUCCCCAUGUGCGGAGAGUGACAGUCAAUGAAGUGUGAGAGCCAAUCACGCUGACUGGACCUGGGCUCAACUAAUUGCUUUCCUAUUUAGGAAGUACCAUUUUAUUUUUUAGGCAGAGCUCAUAGAACCCCUCCAUUUGGUGGUUACACAUUGACCAACUUGUAAUCUGUUUCAAUUGUGUUAAUUUACAAUGUUGUCAUUUAAUAGAUGGGCCUUAAGGUAAAAUCGUAACUCUUUGUUACUUUGACUUCUGUUGUAAUCCUGCUAUUAAAGUGAUUGUGAGCUCGUUAUGCAGAAAGUUAUUGUAAUGUUUCUACUGUAAAUGUUAAUAAAACCAGUCUCCGUAACAUCUGUUUUAAUAGAUAUAAUCUAUACAUAACAGUGUACCAUACGGGAGCUAUAUUCUACAGUGUUGAGGGAGCAUAUUGAGUGUGGCAUACUGUUAACUGAAGUGUAUUCUGACCAUUAGACUUCUGUUGAAAUGGCUUUUUGUACAAUACUGGUUGAAUGAGUAAAUGACAUUUUACAGUAAAACCUUUUUCUAACACUA